rnacentral:lncRNA from 1 species
AUGCUGCUUCGCCCCCACCCGGCCGGGCCCAACCGCCAGGCCCUCCCCGCCCCCCUUUGCCUCCGCCGGCCUCAGCAGCUCCCUCCCCGGGGCGCUCAGAAAUCGAGCCCGGCAGAAGCCCGAGGCCUACCGAGCCGAGCAGCAGCAGCAGGGACCCCAGCGCCAAGCACAGCGCCCGCCCCUCCGCCUCGACCCCUCUCUGGGACGGGGGCGCAGCCCUCUCGCCCUCACCCCAUUGUUCCCCGCACCCCCGGCUCCGUUGCCCUCAGGGGAAGCAGCGCACUCACCACACGGGCCGGGCUCCCCCCGCAGCGGCCACCGGCCCCCUCAGCUGCGGCACACGGGGGUGGCCGCAGCGCCCUGCGCCUCCAGCACCCACUGACUCCGGGGCGCCGCCACCGCCUCCCGUCGCCCCGCCGCCACCGCCGCUGCAGCAGCGGCCAUCUUGUGCGUCGGCUGCCUCCCCGCUCCGCUCCGCUCCGCCUCGCCUGCCUGCCCGCACCGCCUCGCCGCUGCCGCCCGCCCCUUCCUGCGCCCGGCCCCCCCCGGCAGGUGGGGAGGAACCGGCAGAAAGAGCCGAGUCACGGGCUGGAGCCCGGGGACAGCCCUGCGGGGCGAGGGGCCGGCGCUGCCGGGCGGGGGUGCUGUCACCCGCCGCGGGGCGGGCAUCGCGAGUUCCUGUCAGGAGCAGCAGGCGCUCCCCUCUCCCCUUCGUGCCUUUUGGGCCCCCUGGAAGACACAGAGCUUGGCUUGCUGCUGAAGAAGGUCCUUCCUUAGCUUGCUUUGUUGUAGGAUACAUUUGACUCAUCAUCAUCCUCAACAAAUAUAAAGGCUGCUUUCCUAAAUGUUACACUAGAAAUGUGAACCUUACUAAAGUUAUUAGUAUCCUGUUCAGACACAGAAGCCAGCCCAAGGAACUAAAAUG